UCUGCAUAGCUCAGUGGUAGAGCGGUUGACUGUUAAUCAAUAGGUCGGAGGUUCGAAUCCUUCUGCAGUCGAA
rnacentral:tRNA from 1 species